ACAAAACUGUCAUGACUUCCCACAACUUUAAUAGAGCACAUUACCUUCUGUUACAUAAUAGUUGGAUAUUAUCUCAGGCUACGACAAAUUACCUAAUGCUACACGAGUCCCCAUUUCACUGCCUUAUGCACUAUGACUAAUAAAGUAGAUCUGAAUCAUCUUCCCAGGAUUUUAAGAAUUAAUGAGCUACAUUUGUUGUUCAUGACUUCCAUGUGUCACCAUUAUUCCCUGUUGAGUUUAUCCUCAGCACAGGCAGACGCUGUCGCAAUGUUUAGCAUUUUUAUUAGUGUUUUAUUGUUUCAGUAUUUUAAUCAGUUUUUAAUCUUUUGUCUUUAUAAUGGCGUCCUCCUUUAAGCUUUAUCAAGAAUCCUCAGACACGGAUGUCCUUGAAAGAUUAACGUAUGUAUCAUCUAUAAUCCAUUUGUUUGUCCCUACAAUGACAAUGGUGCCUUCAAUCCACAAGGCUACACAUGAGUUUGAAUACUAAAAAGCCUGUGCACACACACACAAGGAGCUUAAACAGUGUGUACUAGCUGGCUCUGUGUUUAAUGUUUCAUUCAUAUGUUGGUGAUUAAUGAGCCAGCAACACAGAAACAGGAACUCUGGGAAAGGUAACGAGUAAACACGCUUGCCUCCGUCGUUAAAUGUGUUUGUAGGUUAGCGCUAAAGCAAAUACAAUGGAGAGAUAGCAUCGCUCAGGGAGCGGCCGUGCCUUUGUAACCAGGACCUGGUGAUCUCACAGCUGCACACAGGGAAAUCCACACAGACACAGCCAUAAGGCAGUGUAGGAAGACAGCUUGUUCAUCGCUUGGUUUUCGGGGGGCAGUAUAAUAUGAUUUCUUCCCCUAAUUCCCCUACUUACAAAAAAGACACACACACACACACACACACACACACACACACACACACACACACACACACACACAUCUGAAACACCUCAUACUGUGCAUCACUCAGCCCAUCAUGUGCAUCCAUUCCUAUCAAGUUCAUUUGUUUUGUCUGUGUGUGUGUGGAUACAGUGGACCUUAUGUGGUGCCUCAUUGUGGGUGGUAUCCUGUGACACUACGUGUAAAAGGGUUUUUUAAUGGAAGGUUUAUUGAUUUUUUUUUUUUUUUUUUUAAUCAAAAAUGAAACUGAAAAUCAUAAUGGCUAACACAUUGGACUGUGUUGCUUGGCGGUCGUCAUGGUGAUCAACGUUUAACAUGUAGUAUUAACUUGUCUUUGGUGUUUGUUUCUUUUGCUACAUUUUCUCUUCAGUUUAGUUUAUGUCUGUUUAAGUUCAUAUUUAUUUCCACAUUUGUGCUCCGAGUUUGGACGAAUGUUUUCCAGAACUCUUACGCCUGAUCUGAUUUAAUUAAAAAUGUGAUAGGUUAAUUCCUCUCCAAGUUGCUGUCA